GUCAUGCGCUGAAGCUCAUGAAAGCUUGAGCUUGUUGCCAAGUCGAGAAGUAGGAACUUACUACUACAAUGUACUGAUGAGCUCAAAAAAUUUAAUUUUGUGCAAUCAUCUAUGGCUAAAAUCCCACUCACAUUAAUCGAUGAUAUUUAGAUUUCCAAGAGAACCUGAGGAUUGAAAGAAAAGAAAAGAAAAAAGAACAUGCAAAUAUCACAAAUUCAUUCUAGCAUGGAAGUUUCUCGUCAUUGUCAU
rnacentral:misc_RNA from 1 species